AGAGUUUGAUCCUGGCUCAGAUUGAACGCUGGCGGCAGGCUUAACACAUGCAAUUCGAGCGGUGACAGGGGGAGCUUGCUCCCUGCUGACGAGCGGCGGACGGGUGAGUAAUGCAUAGGAAUCUGCCCAGUAGUGGGGGAUAGCCCCGGGAAACCCGGAUUAAUACCGCAUACGCCCUACGGGGGAAAGCAGGGGAUCUUCGGACCUUGCGCUAUUGGAUGAGCCUAUGUCGGAUUAGCUAGUUGGUGGGGUAAAGGCUCACCAAGGCGACGAUCGGUAGCUGGUCUGAGAGGAUGAUCAGCCACACUGGGACUGAGACACGGCCCAGACUCCUACGGGAGGCAGCAGUGGGGAAUAUUGGACAAUGGGCGCAAGCCUGAUCCAGCCAUGCCGCGUGAGUGAAGAAGGCCUUCGGGUUGUAAAGCUCUUCAGACGGGAAGAUGAUGACGGUACCGUCAGAAGAGCCUCGAUUCCCU
rnacentral:rRNA from 1 species